CUUGAUGGAGCCGAGCAGCAGCGGCUGGUCCUCGGUGUGCUCCUGACCGUACGUGGCGAGCAGCGCCUGCGCCUC
rnacentral:antisense_RNA from 1 species